UUACAGUUGAUCACGCAUCCUUAAGAUAAUUAUUUCUGUAUAAGGGGAUCAAAUACUUAAAUGAAAAAGGAAUCAGAGGUCCUAGGACUUCUUUCAGGUGUCACCAAGAAUGUUUAAAAUCACUAAAUACAAUUGAAGCUCAAUUGACUAAAACUGCUCAAAUCCUCUCCAUUUUGUCAUCUUUCCCACUCCAACUAGGUUAAACAAUAUUUUACUUUUUGACAGAAUUCAAUAUAUCCAUCAACAUUUGAAGAUUCAAAUUCCUCCAAACAAACAAAUAAUGUCUUUUGAAAUUUGAAUUUCAAAACUGAGAAGCUUCCAUUUUACCACCAUCAGAGAAAAAUAUAGAGAGAAAAAGAAGCAAUCGAUCAUCCCACAUUAAUAUCUAGAUGCCGUCGAGAGGAAAGGCGGAAGAGAAGAGGCCCAUCAACCAUCCACCACAGAAAAAGAGAAGAGAGAAGAGGAAGGGAGAAGCCACAUUUCCAUCUUAUAGUUACAGAGGGAUGAAAGAAGAAAGAGGAAGGAAAUACCCUCAAGACCAGAGGAAGGAUGGAGAGAGAAAGAGCGAAGGGGGAGACCACACCAGAGGGGAUAGGUUCAGCAUCAAAAAGAGAAGAGAAAGAAGGGAGACCAGAAAUGGAAUCCGAUGACUAACCCGCUACCGAGGAAGGCCGGCAACUACUUGCGCAAGGGACGGAGAGAGGGAGAGAAAGCCAACUUGGCCUAGCCUGCAAUCAAGAAAGGCCGGCAAAGAGAAGAUGGAGGAGUGGCUUUGCUCUUAGCUAGAAAAUGGACCCACCACCAAAAAGGUCGAGAGUUGGGAGAGGGGGAAGAGAGAGAAUGAAAAAAAGAUAGAGGGGCUCAGCCACCACCAAAAGAAGAGAGGGGUAGAGAGGUAGAGAGGGGGGAAGGCGAAAGAGAUGGGCUUGGCUGCCGGCUGGUUGUCGGAAGAAGAGGUUUGUCGCAGAAGUCCAAUAGUCGAAGAAUAGAGAGGGAGAGAGAGAGAGAUAGAGAAGAAAAGAAAAAUGACCCACCACCGAAAAAUGGGAGAGAGGGAAAGAGUCAGAAAGCAAGGGAGAG
rnacentral:lncRNA from 1 species